UUGGUGGGGUAAUGGCCCACCAAGGCAACGACGGGUAGCCGGCCUGAGAGGGUGACCGGCCACACUGGGACUGAGACACGGCCCAGACUCCUACGGGAGGCAGCAGUGGGGAAUAUUGGACAAUGGGCGAAAGCCUGAUCCAGCAACGCCGCGUGAGGGAUGACGGCCUUCGGGUUGUAAACCUCUUUCAGCGGGGACGAAGCGCAAGUGACGGUACCCGCAGAAGAAGCACCGGCCAACUACGUGCCAGCAGCCGCGGUAAUACGUAGGGUGCGAGCGUUGUCCGGAAUUGUUGGGCGUAAAGGGCUCGUAGGCGGUUUGUCGCGUCGGGAGUGAAAACUCAGGGCUUAACCCUGAGCCUGCUUCCGAUACGGGCAGACUAGAGGUAUGCAGGGGAGAACGGAAUUCCUGGUGUAGCGGUGAAAUGCGCAGAUAUCAGGAGGAACACCGGUGGCGAAGGCGGUUCUCUGGGCAUUACCUGACGCUGAGGAGCGAAAGUGUGGGGAGCGAACAGGAUUAGAUACCCUGGUAGUCCACACCGUAAACGUUGGGCGCUAGGUGUGGGACUCAUUCCACGAGUUCCGUGCCGCAGCUAACGCAUUAAGCGCCCCGCCUGGGGAGUACGG
rnacentral:rRNA from 1 species